AGAGGCGAUGAAGGACGUGCUAAUCUGCGAUAAGCGUCGGUAAGGUGAUAUGAACCGUUAUAACCGGCGAUUUCCGAAUGGGGAAACCCAGUGUGAUUCGUCACACUAUCAUUAACUGAAUCCAUAGGUUAAUGAGGCGAACCGGGGGAACUGAAACAUCUAAGUACCCCGAGGAAAAGAAAUCAACCGAGAUUCCCCCAGUAGCGGCGAGCGAACGGGGAGGAGCCCAGAGCCUGAAUCAGUGUGUGUGUUAGUGGAAGCGUCUGGAAAGGCGCGCGAUACAGGGUGACAGCCCCGUACACAAAAAUGCACAUACUGUGAGCUCGAUGAGUAGGGCGGGACACGUGGUAUCCUGUCUGAAUAUGGGGGGACCAUCCUCCAAGGCUAAAUACUCCUGACUGACCGAUAGUGAACCAGUACCGUGAGGGAAAGGCGAAAAGAACCCCGGCGAGGGGAGUGAAAAAGAACCUGAAACCGUGUACGUACAAGCAGUGGGAGCACAGAGCAAUCUGUGUGACUGCGUACCUUUUGUAUAAUGGGUCAGCGACUUAUAUUCUGUAGCAAGGUUAACCGAAUAGGGGAGCCGAAGGGAAACCGAGUCUUAACUGGGCGUUAAGUUGCAGGGUAUAGACCCGAAACCCGGUGAUCUAGCCAUGGGCAGGUUGAAGGUUGGGUAACACUAACUGGAGGACCGAACCGACUAAUGUUGAAAAAUUAGCGGAUGACUUGUGGCUGGGGGUGAAAGGCCAAUCAAACCGGGAGAUAGCUGGUUCUCCCCGAAAGCUAUUUAGGUAGCGCCUCGUGAAUUCAUCUCCGGGGGUAGAGCACUGUUUCGGCAAGGGGGUCAUCCCGACUUACCAACCCGAUGCAAACUGCGAAUACCGGAGAAUGUUAUCACGGGAGACACACGGCGGGUGCUAACGUCCGUCGUGAAGAGGGAAACAACCCAGACCGCCAGCUAAGGUCCCAAAGUCAUGGUUAAGUGGGAAACGAUGUGGGAAGGCCCAGACAGCCAGGAUGUUGGCUUAGAAGCAGCCAUCAUUUAAAGAAAGCGUAAUAGCUCACUGGUCGAGUCGGCCUGCGCGGAAGAUGUAACGGGGCUAAACCAUGCACCGAAGCUGCGGCAGCGACGCUGAUGCGUUGUUGGGUAGGGGAGCGUUCUGUAAGCCUGUGAAGGUGUGCUGUGAGGCAUGCUGGAGGUAUCAGAAGUGCGAAUGCUGACAUAAGUAACGAUAAAGCGGGUGAAAAGCCCGCUCGCCGGAAGACCAAGGGUUCCUGUCCAACGUUAAUCGGGGCAGGGUGAGUCGACCCCUAAGGCGAGGCCGAAAGGCGUAGUCGAUGGGAAACAGGUUAAUAUUCCUGUACUUGGUGUUACUGCGAAGGGGGGACGGAGAAGGCUAUGUUGGCCGGGCGACGGUUGUCCCGGUUUAAGCGUGUAGGCUGGUUUUCCAGGCAAAUCCGGAAAAUCAAGGCUGAGGCGUGAUGACGAGGCACUACGGUGCUGAAGCAACAAAUGCCCUGCUUCCAGGAAAAGCCUCUAAGCAUCAGGUAACAUCAAAUCGUACCCCAAACCGACACAGGUGGUCAGGUAGAGAAUACCAAGGCGCUUGAGAGAACUCGGGUGAAGGAACUAGGCAAAAUGGUGCCGUAACUUCGGGAGAAGGCACGCUGAUAUGUAGGUGAAGUCCCUCGCGGAUGGAGCUGAAAUCAGUCGAAGAUACCAGCUGGCUGCAACUGUUUAUUAAAAACACAGCACUGUGCAAACACGAAAGUGGACGUAUACGGUGUGACGCCUGCCCGGUGCCGGAAGGUUAAUUGAUGGGGUCAGCGCAAGCGAAGCUCUUGAUCGAAGCCCCGGUAAACGGCGGCCGUAACUAUAACGGUCCUAAGGUAGCGAAAUUCCUUGUCGGGUAAGUUCCGACCUGCACGAAUGGCGUAAUGAUGGCCAGGCUGUCUCCACCCGAGACUCAGUGAAAUUGAACUCGCUGUGAAGAUGCAGUGUACCCGCGGCAAGACGGAAAGACCCCGUGAACCUUUACUAUAGCUUGACACUGAACAUUGAGCCUUGAUGUGUAGGAUAGGUGGGAGGCUUUGAAGUGUGGACGCCAGUCUGCAUGGAGCCGACCUUGAAAUACCACCCUUUAAUGUUUGAUGUUCUAACGUUGACCCGUGAUCCGGGUUGCGGACAGUGUCUGGUGGGUAGUUUGACUGGGGCGGUCUCCUCCUAAAGAGUAACGGAGGAGCACGAAGGUUGGCUAAUCCUGGUCGGACAUCAGGAGGUUAGUGCAAUGGCAUAAGCCAGCUUGACUGCGAGCGUGACGGCGCGAGCAGGUGCGAAAGCAGGUCAUAGUGAUCCGGUGGUUCUGAAUGGAAGGGCCAUCGCUCAACGGAUAAAAGGUACUCCGGGGAUAACAGGCUGAUACCGCCCAAGAGUUCAUAUCGACGGCGGUGUUUGGCACCUCGAUGUCGGCUCAUCACAUCCUGGGGCUGAAGUAGGUCCCAAGGGUAUGGCUGUUCGCCAUUUAAAGUGGUACGCGAGCUGGGUUUAGAACGUCGUGAGACAGUUCGGUCCCUAUCUGCCGUGGGCGCUGGAGAACUGAGGGGGGCUGCUCCUAGUACGAGAGGACCGGAGUGGACGCAUCACUGGUGUUCGGGUUGUCAUGCCAAUGGCACUGCCCGGUAGCUAAAUGCGGAAGAGAUAAGUGCUGAAAGCAUCUAAGCACGAAACUUGCCCCGAGAUGAGUUCUCCCUGACCCUUUAAGGGUCCUGAAGGAACGUUGAAGACGACGACGUUGAUAGGCCGGGUGUGUAAGCGCAGCGAUGCGUUGAGCUAACCGGUACUAAUGAACCGUGAGGCUUAACCUUACAACGCCGAAGGUGUUU
rnacentral:rRNA from 1 species